rnacentral:misc_RNA from 1 species
CUUUGAUGCAGCAAUGGAUAGUAGAAGGCAUAAGGGCACUGUAGCAGUCAUAGCCAGAGACCACCUGGGUAAGCCAUGUGGUUAGGCAUGUAAAGCCAUUCCAGUAAUGUCGGAUGCCUUGACUCUCGAAAGUUUGGCAUGUAGAGAGGCCAUUCUCUUGGCAAGAGCUAGAGGUUGGGAUCACAUUGUAAUAGAAGGAGACUGCCAAGUGGUUAUUAGGGCCCUACAAGGAGAGAAUGCACCAAUAGACAUUUAGAAUAUCAUUCAUGAUAUUUCAACUCUAUCUUCCUCCCUGUCAGAUGUAUCCUUUUCUUUUGUUCACAGACAGGGUAAUCGAGCAGCACAUAGUUUAGCUUCUAAAGCUCUUCGAGAUGCAUCUUUUGCUUGUAAUUCCUUUUUUCAAAUCCUGUUUGUAUCUUCCCUUCUUUAGACCUUACUCGAAUCCUUCAAAUUGCGACAGUAAAUUUCAAUGAUAGAUUCAAAUUUGGUGGUUAGGAUUUUGAAGAAUUCCACUGAAAAUUUAAGAAGGUUGGUGAAAAGAGAUUGUGCAAGGCUAAAUGCGUAGAGGUGUGAACUAG